rnacentral:tRNA from 1 species
GCAUCCGUAGCUCAGUUGGAUAGAGCGUUGCCCUCCGAAGGCAAAGGUCGUGCGUUCGAAUCGCGCCGGGUGCACCA